UUUAUGGAGAGUUUGAUCCUGGCUCAGGACGAACGCUGGCGGCGUGCCUAAUACAUGCAAGUCGAGCGCGGGAAGCGAG
rnacentral:rRNA from 1 species